rnacentral:rRNA from 1 species
UACAGGAAGUGCAAACGUUGCUCGGAAUCAUUGGGCGUAAAGCGCACGUAGGCGGUCUGUUAUGUCGGAUGUGAAAGCCCUUGGCUUAACUGAGGAAGUGCAUCCGAAACUGGCAGGCUAGAGUACUAAAGAGGGUCGCGGAAUUCCCGGUGUAGAGGUGAAAUUCGUAGAUAUCGGGAGGAACACCGGUGGCGAAGGCGGCGACCUGGAUAGAUACUGACGCUGAGGUGCGAAAGCGUGGGGAGCAAACAGG